rnacentral:rRNA from 1 species
AAUCAACGCUGGCGGCGUGCCUCAGACAUGCAAGUCGAACGAUUAAGACUUCCUUCGGGAAGUGCAUAAAGUGGCGCACGGGUGAGUAACACGUAAGUAAUCUACCCUCGAGUGGGGAAUAACGUUCGGAAGCGAGCGCUAAUACCGCAUAAUGCAGCGGCAUCGCAAGAUGACAGUUGUUAAAGGAGUAAUUCGCUUGAGGAGGAGCUUGCGGCAGAUUAGCUAGUUGGUAAGGUAACGGCUUACCAAGGCUACGAUCUGUAUCCGGUCUAAGAGGACGGUCGGACACACUGACACUGAAUAACGGGUCAGACUCCUACGGGAGGCAGCAGUCGGGAAUUUUGGGCAAUGGGCGAAAGCCUGACCCAGCAACGCCGCGUGAAGGAUGAAGUAUUUCGGUAUGUAAACUUCGAAAGAAUGGGAAGAAUAAAUGACGGUACCAUUUAUAAGCUCCGGCUAACUACGUGCCAGCCGCCGCGGUAACAC